UUAUCAGACUUGUUACAAGGUUGUUCUAACAAGUCUGAUACAGUCAUGUUUAACAAGAAUGUUACAAGGUUGACGACACGAGGUUGUAACAGUAUUGUUAUAUCAUGACUGUAUCAGACUUGUUGGAACAACCUUGCAACAAGUCUGAUAA
rnacentral:miRNA from 1 species